GACGAACGCUGGCGGCGUGCUUAACACAUGCAAGUCGAGCGGUAAGGCCCUUUCGGGGGUACACGAGCGGCGAACGGGUGAGUAACACGUGGGUGACCUGCCCUCAGCUCUGGGAUAAGCCUGGGAAACCGGGUCUAAUACUGGAUAUGACUCCAUGACGCAUGUUGUGGGGUGGAAAGCCUUGUGCGGCUGAGGGUGGGCCCGCGGCCUAUCAGCUUGUUGGUGGGGUGAUGGCCUACCAAGGCGACGACGGGUAGCCGGCCUGAGAGGGCGACCGGCCACACUGGGACUGAGACACGGCCCAGACUCCUACGGGAGGCAGCAGUGGGGAAUCUUGCGCAAGUGGGCGAAAGCCUGACGCAGCGACGCCGCGUGA
rnacentral:rRNA from 1 species